rnacentral:rRNA from 1 species
UACGGAGGGGGCCAGCGUUGUUCGGAAUCAUUGGGCGUAAAGGGCGCGUAGGCGGCUUGGUAAGUCCGUUGUGAAAUCCCUCGGCUCAACCGAGGAACUGCGACGGAUACUGUUUGGCUUGAGUCCCGGAGAGGGUAGCGGAAUUCCCAGUGUAACGGUGAAAUGCGUAGAUAUUGGGAGGAACAUCGGUGGCGAAGGCGGCUACCUGGACGGGUACUGACGCUGAUGCGCGAAAGCUAGGGGAGCAAACAGG